rnacentral:ncRNA from 2 species
UUCUACUUGUCGGAGUGCCUAUUGGCUGAGACCGUUUAUUCGGGAUCCGUUGAACCUGAUCAGAUUAGUAUCUGCGAAGGGAACAAGAGAACAUUGACU